AUCUGUCCUGUGCUGUGGCCACACAUCCUCCACCAAGUGCUACGGCUGCGCCUUGGCUGUUACAGAACAUUGUAUCACACUACUUCGGGCCCUGGCCACCAACCCAGCCUUGAGGCACAUCCUUGUCUCCCAGGACCUUAUCUAGGAGCUCUUUGAUUAUAAUCUUCACCCAGGGGCUGAGGCCAUGUAGGAGGAGGUCUGCCAGCGCACGUGCCUCCUAACUGGAGACAACCCGGAAGCCACCCAGCAGAUGAAUGACGUGAUUAUUGGCAAGGUCUCCACAGCCCUAAAGAGCCACUGGGCCAACCCUAAUCUGACAAGUAGCCUGCAGUAUGAAAUGUUGCUGCUGAUGGAUUCUAUCUCCAAGGAGGACAGCUGCUGGGAGCUUCGGUUAGGCUGUGUGCUCAGCCUUUUCCUCAUGGCUGUGAACAUUAAGACUCCCAUGGUGGUUGAGAACGUUACCCUCAUGCGCAUGCGGAUCUUGCAGAAGCUGAUUAAACCACCUGCUCCCACUAGCAAGAAGAACAAGGAUGUCCUCAUCGAGGCCCUCACCACAGUGAAACCAUAUUGCAAUGAGAUCCAUAGCCAGGCUCAACUGUGGCUCAAGAGAGAACCCAAGGCAUCUUAUGAUGCCUGGAAGAAGUGUCUUCCUAUCAGAGGGAUAGAUGGCAAUGGGAAAGCCCCCAGCAAAUCAGAGCUCUAUUUGACUGAGAAGUAUGUGUGGAGGUGGAAACAGUUCCUGAGUCAUCAGCGGAAAAGGAUCUCCCCCUUGGAUCUCAAACUGGGGCAUAACAACUGGCUGCGCCAAGUGCUUUUCACUCUAGCAAUGCAGACUGCACGCCAGGCAGCCUGUACCACUGUGGAAGCUCAAGUCACCAUUCCCAGCCGCAAACAGCAGGUCCUGGAUCUGCUUACCAGUUACCUGGACAAGCUGAGCAUAGCUGGGGAGUGUGUGGCUGAGUACCUGGCUCUCUACCAGAAGUUAAUCACUUCCGCGCACUGGAAAGACUACUUGGCAGCUUGGGAAGUCAUACGCUAUGUGGGCAACCUCAUCACUAAGGAAAUAGCCCGUCUGCUGGCCCUGGAGGAGGCUACCCAGAGCACUGAUCUGCAGAGGGUUAUGCCCUUAAAAGUCUCACAGGCCUUCUCUCCUCCUCUGUUGAGGUGGAAUCAAUCAAAACACACUUUAACAGUCGCUUGGUGGGUACUGUGCUGAAUGGAUACCUGUGCUUGCAAAAGCCGGUGGUGGAGAGGACCAAGCUGAUUGAUGAGAUGCAGGACAUGCUGCUGGAGAUGCUGGAGGACAUAAGCACAGGUACAGAGUCAGAAACCAAGGCCUUCAUGACUGUGUGCAUUGAGACAGCCAAGAGCUACAACCUGGAUGACUACUGAACCCCGGUGUUCAUCUUCGAGAGGCUCUGUAGCAUCAUUUAUCCUGAGGAGAAUGAAGUUACUGAGUUCUUUGUGACCCUGGAGAAGGAUCCCCUGUAAGAAGACUUCUUACAGGGCAGGGUGCCUGGGAACCCGUAUAGCAGCAAUGAGCCAGGCAUCGGGCCACUGAUGAGGGAUAUAAAGAGCAAGAUUUGCCAGGACUGUGAUUUAGUGGCCCUCCUGGAAGAUGACAGUGUCAUGGAGCUUCUAGUGAGCAAUAAAAUCAUUAGUUUGGACCUUCCUGUGGCUGAAAUUUACAAGACAGUGUGGUGUACCACAAAUGAGGGAGAGCCCAUAAGGACUGCUUAUCGUAUGCGGGGGCUGCUGGGCAAUGCCACAGUGGAAUUCAUCGAGUCCCUGGACUCUACCACAGAUGAAGAAGAAGAUGAAGAAGUGUACAAAAUGGCUGGUGUGAUGGCUCAGUGUGGCGGCCUGGAAUGCAUGCUUAACAGACUCGCCGGGAUCAGAGAUUUCAAGCAGGGAUGCCACCUUCUAACGGUGCUACUGAAAUAGUUCAGUUACUGUGUGAAGGUGAAAGUCAACCAGCAGCAACUGGUCAAACUGGAAAUGAACACCUUGAAUGUCAUGCUGGGGACUCUAAACUUGGCCCUUGAACAAGAAAGCAAGGACAGUGGAAGCGCAGCUGUGGCUGAGCAGGUGCUGAAGCAUCAUGGAGAUCAUUCUCAAUGAGUCCAACACUGAGCCCCUGAGCGAGGACAAGGGCAACCUCCUCCUGACAGGUGACAAGGAUCAACUUGUGAUGCUCUUGGACCAGAUCAACAGCACCUUCGUCCGCUCCAACCCCAGUGUGCUCCAGGGCCCUACCUCAUAUCAUCCAGUACCUUUCCUUUGGAGAGGUGGAGAAAAUGCAGAUCUUGGUGGAGCGAUUCAAACCAUACUGCAUGAAGAUCACAGUGGCCAUGAUAAAGUCUUCCUGGACUGCCUCUGUAAAAUAGCUGCUGGCAUCAAGAACAACAGCAAUGGGCACCAGCUGAAGAAUCUGAUUCUCCAGAAGGGGAUCACCCAGAAUGCACCUGACUACAUGAAAAAGCACAUCCCUAGUGCCAAGAACUUGGAUGUUGACAUCUAGAAAAUGUUUUUGUCUCGCCCAGCCUUGACGUUUAUCCUGAGGCUGCUUCAGGGCCUAGCCAUCGAGCACCCUGCCAUCCAGGUUCUGAUUGGAACUGACUUCAUCCCAAACCUGCAUAAGCUGGAGCAGGUAUCCAGUGAUUAGGGCAUUGGGACCAUGGCAGAGAACCUGCUGGAAGCCCUGCAGGAACACCCUGAUGUAAACAACAAGAUUGCCACAGCCCACAGGGAGACCCAGGCAGAGAAGAAGAGUAUGGCCAUGACAUGAGGCAGAAGGCUCUGGGCACCCUGGGCAUGACGGCAAAUGAAAAGGGCCAGGUCGUAACCAAGACGGCACUCCUGAAGCAGAUGGAAGAACUGAUCGAGGAACCCAGCCUCGCAUACUGCACCUGCAGGGAGGGAUACAAGUUCCAUCCCACGAAGGUCCUGGGCAUUUAUACCUUCACGAAGCGGGCGGUCUUGGAGGAGAUGGAGAAUAAGCCUGGAAAGUGCAGGGGUACAGCACCGUGUCCCACUUCAACAUCGUGCACUACGACUGCCACCGGGUUGCCUUCAGGUUGGCCCUAGGCCGGGAAGAACGGGAAAGUGCCGCCCUUCAGAAUGCCAACACCAAGGGCAAUGCGCUGCAUCCAGUCUGGGGGCCUCACGUCCCUGAAUCAGCUUUUGCCACUUGCUUGGCAGGACACAACACUUACCUCCAGGAAUGUACAGGCCAGCGCGAGCCCACAUACCAGCUCAACAUCCAUGACAUCAAACUGCUCUUCCUGCGGUUCGCCGUGGAGCAGGCGCAGACACCUGCGGGGCGGCCGGGAGAGCAACAUGCACCUGAUCCCCUACGUCAUUCACACUGUGCUUAGCGUCCCGAACACAACCCGAGCAACUCCCGAGAAGAGAAGAAGCUCGAAGGCUUUCUGGAGCAGCCCAAGAAGUGGGUGGAGAGUGCCUUGGAAGUGGGCGGGCCCCACUAUUUCCCAGUCCUGGCCCUUCACAUUCUGCCCCCCUAGCAGCUGAGAGCCACGCUGGUGGAAAUCUUGCGCAGGCUGCCGGUGACCUCGCAGGCCUGGGCAGUGGCUCCAGGUGGAGCCACCAGGCUGACGGAUAAGGCAGUGAAGGACUACUCUGCCUACGGCUCUUCCCUUCUCUUUUGGGCCCUCGUCGAUCUCAUUCACAACAUGUUUAAGAAGAAACCUACCAGUAACACGGAGGGAGGCUGGUCCUGCUCUCUCGCUGGGGGCAUCUGCCACAACGACAUGCCCAGCUACGAAGCUGCCAACAAAGCCCUGAAAACCUCCCAGGAGGAGUUCCUGCCGGUGGAAACCUCAGUUCCUCGACGUGGCUGGUCUUUGAUCAGAAGUCACCGAUCCCGAGAGCCUCCUGAAGGGCCCGUUGAACUCGGUCCGCUGA